AGAUUAAGUUAUUAAGGGCGCACGGUGGAUGCCUUGGCACUAGAAGCCGAUGAAGGACGUUACUAACGACGAUAUGCUUUGGGUAGCUGUAAGUAAGCGUUGAUCCAGAGAUUUCCGAAUGGGGGAACCCAGCAUGAGUUAUGUCAUGUUAUCGACAUGUGAAUUCAUAGCAUGUCAGAAGGCAGACCCGGAGAACUGAAACAUCUUAGUACCCGGAGGAAGAGAAAGAAAAAUCGAUUCCCUGAGUAGCGGCGAGCGAAACGGGAAGAGCCCAAACCAACAAGCUUGCUUGUUGGGGUUGUAGGACACUCUAUACGGAGUUACAAAAGAACAUGUUAGACGAAUCAUCUGGAAAGAUGAAUCAAAGAAGGUAAUAAUCCUGUAGUCGAAAACAUAUUCUCUCUUGAGUGGAUCCUGAGUACGACGGAGCACGUGAAAUUCCGUCGGAAUCUGGGAGGACCAUCUCCUAAGGCUAAAUACUCUCUAGUGACCGAUAGUGAACCAGUACCGUGAGGGAAAGGUGAAAAGUACCCCGGAAGGGGAGUGAAAGAGAACUUGAAACCG
rnacentral:rRNA from 1 species